AGGGCACCACCAGGAGUGGAGCCUGCGGCUUAAUUUGACUCAACACGGGAAAACUCACCCGGCCCGGACACUGGAAGGAUUGACAGAUUGAGAGCUCUUUCUUGAUUCAGUGGGUGGUGGUGCAUGGCCGUUCUUAGUUGGUGGAGUGAUUUGUCUGGUUAAUUCCGAUAACGAACGAGACUCUAGCCUACUAAAUAGACCUCGGCAUUCUUUGUACUGUCGAGGCACUUCUUAGAGGGACAGGCGGCGUUUCAGCCGCAUGAGAAAGAGCAAUAACAGGUCUGUGAUGCCCUUAGAUGUCCGGGGCCGCACGCGCGCUACACUGAAGAGAUCAGCGUGCAUGUGCUUCCUACUCCGAAAGGAGCGGGAAACCGAGUGAACCUUUUUCGUGCUUGGGAUUGGGGAUUGUAAUUAUUCUCCAUGAACGAGGAAUUCCCAGUAAGCACAAGUCAUCAGCUUGUGUUGAUUACGUCCCUGCCCUUUGUACACACCGCCCGUCGCUACUACCGAUUGGAUGUU
rnacentral:rRNA from 1 species